ensembl:lncRNA
AGGAUUGAGGAUCGAGGAUUGAGGAUUUUUCUUACAUGAGGUUCAGAGAAGUUAAGCCGCUGGCUCGAGGUUCCUCAGCUAACACGUGGCAGAGUGGGGCCCUGCCGCGGCGUCUGGCUCUUUCCACUGAGCUGCACUGCCGCUUAGUUGGCCACCCUUUGGAAAGCAGCGCUGGAGAUUUUCCAUCUUGAUAAUGAACCGUGCCUUAUAAAGAAGCUGUUGGCCCAGGGGGAAGAAGGGAAUGGGUGAGGGGAGCUGUGCUCCUCAGAAGCUGCCACUGAUUUUGCCCCUGCCAGCAAAGGGUCUCACUGGAUGCUCCCUGCUCUUUCUGUUCUCAGAAGGCCAGGAAUAUUUGGAAUAUGAUUAAACCUGCCUGCUUUCCUGC